AUUGAACGCUGGCGGCGUGCCUAACACAUGCAAGUCGAGCGGUAACAGGUGUAGCAAUACAUGCUGACGAGCGGCGAACGGGUGAGUAAUGCUUCGGAAUCUGCCCAUGUAGUGGGGAAUAACCAGCCGAAAGGUUGGCUAAUACCGCAUACGACCUACGGGUGAAAGCAGGGGAUCGCAAGACCUUGCGCUAUUGGAUGAGCCGAAGUCGGAUAGCUUGUUGGUAGGGUAACGGCCUACCAAGGCGACGAUCCGUAGCUGGUCUGAGAGGACGACCAGCCACACUGGGACUGAGACACGGCCCAGACUCCUACGGAGGCAGCAGUGGGGAAGUAAUUGGACAAUGGGGCGAACCCUGAUCCAGCGACGCCGCGUGUGUGAAGAAGGCCUG
rnacentral:rRNA from 1 species